rnacentral:rRNA from 1 species
CCUACGGGUGGCAGCAGUGAGGAAUAUUGGUCAAUGGACGAGAGUCUGAACCAGCCAAGUAGCGUGAAGGAUGACUGCCCUAUGGGUUGUAAACUUCUUUUAUAAAGGAAUAAAACGAGGCACGUGUGCCUUUUUGCAUGUACUUUAUGAAUAAGGAUCGGCUAACUCCGUGCCAGCAGCCGCGGUACUACGGAGGAUCCGAGCGUUAUCCGGAUUUAGUGGGUUUAAAGGGAGCGUAGAUGGGUUGUUAAGUCAGUUGUGAAAGUUUGCGGCUCAACCGUAAAAUUGCAAUUGAUACUGGCAGGAUUGAGUACAGUUGAGGUAGGCGGAAUUCGUGGUGUAGCGGUGAAAUGCUUAGAUAUCACGAAGAAACCCGAUUGCGAAGGCAGCUUACUAAACUGUGACUGACAUUGAUGCUCGAAAGUGUGGGUAUCAAACAGGAUUAGAUACACUUGUAGUC